UCUGUCUCCUUUUUCUUCCUCCAGACUUCUAGAACUCUAGUCCUAACAAGAGGAGCCUGAGGGAAGAAGUUUGCACUACUUAAAGCCUUAAAGUCUUGGCCAGGAGGAAGACAUGUAGUCAAUUUAUUAUGCUUAACCAGAAGUCCUAAAAUGACUGUUCUUAAAAUGCUAGCUCUGUGUCUUGUGGUGUGGAAUUAACUAAGAUGGCAUGCAGCCUCAAUUGCCUCAUCCAGAACAUUCUCAGACUUACUGACCUACAAGAGUGGCAGGCAGUGUUCUCUCCCCUGAGCCUUCAACACAUGGUUGCUUACAGGGUACCUGGAAGGUGAAGGUAAGCCUUGAUGAUGGAGGCUUUAGCCAUAUCAGAGGCUCAAAUAUUCUGACUUCCUAGAGGCUAUCCUUACUUUUCCUUUCCCCUUCACACUCCAAGGAGCAUCACUGAGGUAGCACUUUUUUCUCUUAUCCUGGGGAGACAGGAUAUUAUUUCUUUUUCACCCCUAACUUUCCUGUAUCUCUGUCUUUAAUGCAGGGCUUGUCCUUCCACUAGUACAGAUAUAGGACACUCCACAUCCUGCCCUUCCCACGCACAAAAUGUCAAAGCUACCCUUGACAUUUCUUUGUCAUUUGCCUGCUCUGGAAGCAACUCUCUUAGAAUCAACAAGGUAUAAUGAUGGAUUAAAAAUGAGCCAGGAAUCAUUUGACAUUUUUCUCAUUGUGAAGAGAUCUCCAAUUCUGCCUCUUGAAUCUGGGAUGUUCUUAAUGGUUUGCUUGACCAGUAGAUUAUGGCAGAAGUAAUACUCUGUGAUUUCUGAAGCUAGGUUAUAAGAAGCCUAUAGCUUUUGCCUAGUUGUCUUGGAACACUCAAUCUUGGGAUGCUCCACAUGGGAACCGAACCACCAUUAAAAAAAAAAAAAGCCAAAACCCCCCUGGGGUCGUAUGUGAGUGUUGUCAAAUGCACCAGUUGAGGUAAUCAACCACUGGCAUUAACUGCCAUCCAUAUAAGUGAGCCAUAGUGAGUGUCCCAGAUCAUAUGAAACUACACAUUGAAGAAGCUCAAUGAACUCUAAGGUAGAUCAUCUCAGAAAUUGUUGGAAUACAAAGAGAAUAUCUUGAAAGCAGCAAGAGGAGAGACUUGUCACAGACAAGGGAUCGCCAAUAAAAUCAAUAGCUGAUUUCUCAUGAGAAACCCAUCUGGCCCAGAAGGCAAUGGGAUAAAAAAUUAAAGUGCUGGGGGGAAAAAGCACUUUCAACCAGGUCUCUGUUGGCAAAACUGCCCUUCAAAAAUGAAGGAAAAACUAAGAUAAACAAAAGGCAAGAGAAUUGGCCUCUACUAGACCUCCCUGCAAGAAAUGCUAAAGGGAGUUCUAAAGGCUGAAAUAAAAGGACAUGAGGCAGUAAUUCCAAGUCAUACAAAGAAACAGAUUACCAACAAAGGUAACUGCACAGGUGUAUAUAUGAAAGCUAGUGUUACUGUAUUUCUAAUUUAUCUCAUUUUGUUUCCUACAUGAUUAAGAAGACAAAUGCAUAAAACAAUUUGAAACCUGUGUCAAUGGGCACAUAAUGUAUAACGAUGUAAUUUGUGAAAUUUCAACAAAAAUUUGGGAUGGAGUUGGACAGGAACAGAGGUACUGUGUUAUUGAACUAAUUUGGUAUCAAUUCAAUGUAGAUUGGUAUAAGUUAAGAGUGUUAACUGUAAUACCCAUAGUAACCCCUAAGAAAAUAAAGAAUAUACUAAAAAGAAAUAAAGAGGAAUAAAAAUGGUACACUAGAAAAAAAAAAAGUAUUAGGAGAGUUGAGGAACAAACAGCAGAAUGAAUCCUGCAUUGUCAGUAAUCAUUUUAAAUGUAAAUGAACUAAACUUACGAAUUAAAAAACAGGAAUCAUAGUGGGUUAAAAAAACAACAACAACAACAAAAAACCCAACAA